ACAGUGCAACCGAGAAACAUAGAUUAUUUUAACGCGUUCCGUGUGUUUAUUGUGCCGUGCGAGUUGUAUGUUUUUUAUGAGAUAACAAAGGUAUACGGUUACACCCCGCAUCGAAUGGAUCCGUCUUAAAGUUUUUAACCAAUAACGUAUUACUCAAUUCCCGCGUAGACUUUCCGCAGCCACUUACAACCUAGGCGUAGUCGAGUCGCAAAAACCCCAUCCCAUCUUACGUAAGAACGUUUUGUACAUAGGCCAUGGUAAUUGUUAUAGAAAGCGCAUCUUAAUCGUUGAACAAAACCGCACCAAUUAGUAGACAACAGAUCGUAUUGUAUUGAACCAAACGCAGCGUUUAGGACUUUUUCCAUGUUGUGAAGUGAGUGAAUUUUGUUGAGAGAGAGAAGACAUUUUAGAUCUGAUAGAGAGACGAGAGAGUGAAGGUGGGAGAGAGAGUGAUCGUGUUUGCCAGACCGGUUUCAGCUUGCCCUGCACCUGAAAUCUGAUGACAGCAGAUUUAGCUUUUGGAUCCGUUUGAUCCUGCGGGAACACGGAAAGUUCAGUUCCGAUUCCCAGAAUUUGGCAAAUCCAGACCAAAUUCUAGCGUCCCGGUCGUCUUGACAUCACAUAGCAACCGUUCACCUCCCCAGGUAUUCGCCCAGCUAAAUUACCGUAAGUGUUGAUUUAUGGAGUUUUGUAUAAGUCUUUAUUACUGGAGUGAUCUUUAAGAUUGAUGGAGACUAAGUUGAUUUUGAAAUGAAGAUUGGAUUGAUCUUUAGAAGUUAUUAUUUACCAGCAUGAUUUUGAAACGACCAAGAGAAGUCAAAGAUCGUAGAAAUGUAGAAUUGUUUUAUCAUUAACAGCAAAUCUUGAAUUUGACGUUGAGAAUUACUUUGAGCAUGAGAAUUUUGAUUGAAGAGUUUGAUAACAGACAAGUCAGCUAUUAUGAUUGAGAAUUUCGAAGUAAGGAUUUUAGUAAACAUAAGAUACUUCUUGAGGAUUUGGAAAGCAAACCAGAUCAUGUAGAAAUGAUAGGGGUGUUUAAAUGUUUGUAUUUUACGAGAAAACUCGAAAGGUUUUGGAUCUUAUAUUUAUUUUAGAUGGCCUCUUUAUUUGGUAUUGAUGAGUGAUCCGUCGGCAGUAACACCGACUGGAGAGGAGUCUACCAUUGACUAGCAACCUAUAGACAAGGCGUUGAAGCAUGGUACUGAUGUAGCGUGUAUGUAGACCAGUCCUGCAGCCUAGUGGGCAACUUGAGGCUUCAACAUCGGUUUGGAGAGUGUCAAAAAAUAAGCUUUAUUGAAUCUGUGAAGCAUAAGAAUUAAGUACAACUGGUGUAGUUUAAAAAACUUAACGUACCACAGAAAGCAAGUUCUUAAUAUAAUUGAAAUUAGUUUGUGAACGAAUAAGAAUACACCGGAGAGAAACCAAGCAUUUAACCAUUUGAUAAUUGUUGGAAAUAAUAAUUUCGAGUUGAAGUGAAUUGAAGUGAAGAUAAGAGUUUUAUCGACUUCAAGUUAAAUUAGAGGAAUUGAAUUGUAAGAUAUUUGCUGUAUAUAUGUAAAGAAGAAGUUGUGAAAUUUUGGUUGUUGUUUUUUUUUAAAUAUAAUUGAAGAAAGUUAGAAGUUGUUUUAUUCCCGUCUUUUAUUCUGUCUGUUGGUGUGUCCAUAGGAUCCGGGGUCGCCAUUCCUCUCAUAUAUUAAAGAUAUAAUUUAGCCAAAUUCUGGAGUGGUGACAUAUUUUGGGGGCUUGUCCGGGAAACUUGUAAAUUAAAAUCGUACUAGAAGGAACACCAACAGUUGAUUGUAUAUAGAUGUACUAUGUUAAUUAUGGAUGUAUGAUGAAAAUAAGUGGUAUCUUGUACGUUGUUCUAUCCCUUGCGAUACAGGCGGAGGUUGACUGUUGCUAUCCCUACCCCCUUGCCCAUUCGGCGACCUCUGGAUUCAAGUUUCAGGUGCUGGGUAAGUUGAAAUCGGUCAGUGUGCAAAUGGAUGUGGAUCUAGAGCAAUUGCGUAGUGUUUCUGAGGCAUGUGGUUUAACUGGUCAAGAACUAGUACAAUUUUGCCGCGAAGAGCGUAGAGAAAAGGAAGACACCGCUCGCGACAUAAGGCACCAUAGCCUAGAGAUACGCAGGCAAGAACACGAAAACCUAGAGUUACAACUACAACUAGAAACGCUCAAACACGAACCAAUUUCCACUCCGCAGACGCCAACUUCACCAAAUGCCAAUACUUCAGUACUAGGGACUUCGCGUAGUAAAGCUAAGACCCCUAGGUUACCCGUCUUCGACGAAACACGAGACGAUUUAGACGCGUAUAUUCAACGUUUCGAGCGAUACGCUACGACCCAAGAAUGGGACGAAAAGGAUUGGGCGAUCAGCUUAAGUGCGCUACUCAAAGGAAAAGCAUUAGAUGUUUAUUCUAGAUUAGCCGUACACCAAUCUAAUGAUUACAAGGCUCUGAAAGAGGCACUGCUCAAACGCUUCAAUUUGACGGCUGUUGGGUUUAGACAGAAGUUUAGGGAAACCAAACCUGAAGCUGGAGAAACCGCUCCACAGUUUAUGGCACGCUUAGACAAUAUAUUUACGCGAUGGGUAGAUAUGGAUAAAGCAGACAAGACUUACGAUGGAAUCAAGGAUCUCGUCUUGCGCGAACAAUUCUUAAAUCGUUGCACGGAGGAACUUAGAUUAUUUCUGAACGAGAGAAAACCGCGUAAUGUACAAGAAAUGUCUCGCUUAGCUGAGCAGUACACGGAUGCUCAUGGUUCGUUCGGAGCACGCGAAAACAUUCGUAGAAGUACUCCGAGUAAUUUCACACGAACAUCAGAUACGACUCCGCACGCGCAGUCUAGACCAUCGCAAUCUAGGCCCCAAUACGCGUACAAACCAAAUUCAGAUAGUAGUCAACGCGAGAUCAGAACGUGUUACUUAUGCCACAAGAAAGGACAUAUCGCUAGAAAUUGUAACAGUAGACCGAAAGACUUCACCAAAGUAGCAAAUAUCAUUGCAUCAGCACUAACGAGCGCUCUUGGUCCUGACCUUACAACGCAACCGCAGUCAUCCGGUACAAUAGAAGGUCAAGUUAAUGAUAGCCAAGAAUUGGAACCGUCUGAAACAAUCGCUUGUAUUUUAGCCCCUAAGCCACUAAGAACAUGUUGUGUUCAAGGUGGAAGUCUGCAUUUGACAUGUGGUCACGAAUUACCGCUCAUGAGUGCAGCUUGCCGCGACAAAAAUCCCACUUGCAUGCCUGUGACAGAAUGCGUCGUAAACGGCAGAAACGUUUCCGUCCUACGUGACACCGGAUGUAGUACCGUAGUGAUUCGUCAAGAUUUGGUUUCACCUAAUCAAAUGACCGGGAAAGAUCGAACGUGUGUACUCGUAGAUGGCACGAUCCGUAAAGCACCGAUUGCGAUAGUUGAACUCGACACUCCGUAUUUUAUAGGAUCAUGUGAAGCACUGUGUAUGCCUAACCCAGUGUAUGACAUAAUCAUCGGCAAUAUUUCGAAUGCGCGAGAUCCGCAGGAACCAGAUCCUAAUUGGUCCAAACCUCAUUCGCCGUGCGAAAGUAACACAGAACUGGCAAUCGCAGUCGAAACGCGUUCACAGAAGAUCAAGGCAGCAGAACCGAUGAAAAAGCUGAAAGUCGCUGAACAGCUCCCUGAAAUAGAUCAUAAACAGAUGAAAAUUGCACAACAGAACGAUUCGUCGCUGAACCGUAUCCGAGAACUCGCGGAAAGUAAAGAUGAAAAACGAACUAGAAAUGGCUCCAGAACAACAUUCAUGUGGUUAGAUGGGUUACUGCAUCGCGAGUAUCAAUCACCAAGUCAUAAGUGUGGUCAAGCACUUAACCAAUUAAUAGUCCCUACAGAAUACCGAAAUCACGUCAUGAAAGUUGCACAUGAAAGUAUCCUGGGUGGACACCAAGGCGCAAAGAAAACCGCUGACAGAGUUCUUAGUAAUUUCUUUUGGCCAGGCGUUCAAGCUGAUGUGACUCGAUACUGCAGAUCGUGCGAUAUCUGCCAACGAACCGUACAAAAGGGUAGAGUUGUCAAAGUCCCCUUGGGAAAGAUGCCGAUAAUCGACACUCCAUUUCACCGCGUUGCAAUAGACAUUGUUGGUCCCAUUCACCCAGUAUCAGAUCGAGGAAAUCGAUACAUACUUACCUUAGUCGAUUACGCUACUCGUUAUCCGGAGGCGAUUCCGCUACGGAACAUAGAAACAGUGACAGUAGCAGAAGCAAUGGUUGACGUUUUCACGCGAGUCGGACUCCCAAAUGAAAUUCUGACUGACCAAGGUAGUCAAUUUACCUCAGAGUUAAUGCGCGAGAUAAGCCGCUUACUUUCAGUUCGCCAACUGACCACGACUCCGUACCACCCGUCAUGUAACGGCCUCGUGGAACGUUUCAACGGUGUAAUGAAACAAAUGCUAAAACGCUUAUGCGCAGAGAAACCCCGCGAUUGGGAUAGGUAUUUAGCACCCCUACUCUUCGCAUAUCGUGACACCCCACAUGAGACAACUGGCUUCUCACCGUUUGAGUUAUUGUACGGACGCACCGUUAGAGGUCCUAUGUCGAUAUUGAAAGAAUUAUGGACAGGCAAUAGUGUCGAGAACGAAGAAACCAGAACAACCUAUCAAUACGUCGUCGAUUUACGUGAACGUUUAGACGAAACGUGUAAAAUCGCACAAGAAGCAAUACGCAAAUCCUCAGAAAAGAGCAAACGCUACUAUGACCGAAAAGCAAGACCGCGAAACUUCAACCGAGAUGAUCUAGUUUUGCUUUUACUUCCCACUGAUCGUAACAAAUUGCUGCUACAGUGGAAAGGACCGUUUCGAGUAAUAGAGAAAAUAGGCACAGUAGAUUAUCGCAUCGACCUCGCUGGAAAACCCAAAGUAUUUCACGCAAAUCUACUUAAGAAGUACAUCUCACGCGCCGAAGUAAAUUCCGCUAUCACGACCUACAACUCAUCGGACAAUAUGUUUGAACAAGUAUGCGUCUCAGUCAUAGAAUGUGAACAAGAUUGCUUUGAGAACGAAUCGUUAGAUGAUGCUAGAAUCGAUAACGAAGACACACUUGAACUACCGCCAAUGCAAGCGAAGGAAAGUAUUGAUGAUGUAGAAAUUAAUGAAGAAUUGUCGCCAGAACAAAUCACUGAAACAAAACGUGUGCUUAACAAUUUUCGUGAAGUUCUAACUGAUCUCCCGGGUAAAACUAACCUCGGCUACCACGACAUCAAAGUUGAAUCCAACGAUCCUAUCCGCAGCAAACCAUACCCUCUUCCUCACGCGUUAGUCGAUACUGUCAACAACGAAGUCGAAAACAUGCUUCGAAUGGGAAUCAUCGAAUUAUCCGACUCACCCUAUGCAUCACCGAUUGUUCUCGUAAAGAAACCAGAUGGUACGAACAGAUUUUGUAUUGAUUUUCGGAAACUGAACAAAGUUACCGUCUUUGACGCUGAACCCAUUCCGAAUCAAGAACAAAUUUUCACUAAGUUGUCAAAGUGCCACUACUUCACCAAAAUUGACCUAACGAAAGGCUAUUGGCAAGUUCCGCUAAAACCUGAAGUUAAACCCAAAACUGCCUUCAUCGCUCCCAAUGGCUUGUAUCAAUUUAUCGUAAUGCCGUUCGGGCUCAUCAACGCGCCAGCUACUUUUAGUCGUAUAAUGCGUGCCUUACUGAAGGACAUGAACAAUGUUAGUAACUACAUCGAUGACAUAUUACUUCACACUCAGUCUUGGGAAGUUCACGUGCAAGCACUCAAUGAACUACUGAGUAGACUUCGAAAAUCCGGCUUGACUGCUCGACCCAGCAAAUGUUCAGUAGGCAUGAGUACUAUCGCAUAUCUAGGGCAUAAUGUCGGCCGCAGCAAACUAACACCGCAACAAAAUACGGUCGAAAAGGUUCAAAAUGCUGUACCUCCAGUUACAAAGAAACAACUUCGGUCAUUCCUAGGAUUAUCCGGGUACUACCGCAGAUUCAUACCCAACUAUGCGGCUAUAGCAGCUCCACUUACCGAUAAGACUAAAGCGAAAGAGCCUAACAAAAUAACAUGGGGUGAAAGUCAGCAAUUAGCCUUCAACAAACUGAAGCAAUGCCUGUCUAAUGCACCGAUUCUCACAUUACCAGAUUUCGAGAAACAGUUCAUAUUACGAACCGACGCUUCAGAUCUCGGUAUCGGCGCAAUCCUACUUCAAGAACAAGAUGGCGUUCCGUUCCCUGUUGCAUUCGCGAGUAGAAAGUUACUUAGCCGUGAACGUGCGUACUCUUCGAUAGAGAAAGAGUGUUUAGCUCUCAUAUGGGGAGUUCAGAAGUACCAGAGUUACUUGUACGGUAAUCACUUUGUGGUAGAAACAGACCACCAACCCCUAGCAUACAUUCAGAAAGCCAAAGUCGCUAAUUCCCGCAUAAUGCGUUGGGCGCUGGCUUUGCAGCCAUAUCGCAUGACGAUAGUAGCGAUCAAGGGCACCGACAAUGUAGGAGCCGACUUCCUUAGUCGCAAUGUAUAGAUAUUCCGCACUGCAACUCCUUGAGAAAAUGUAAGACAUUUUCUUACAAAACCGGGGGUGAAUUGUUACAGUGCAACCGAGAAACAUAGAUUAUUUUAACGCGUUCCGUGUGUUUAUUGUGCCGUGCGAGUUGUAUGUUUUUUAUGAGAUAACAAAGGUAUACGGUUACACCCCGCAUCGAAUGGAUCCGUCUUAAAGUUUUUAACCAAUAACGUAUUACUCAAUUCCCGCGUAGACUUUCCGCAGCCACUUACAACCUAGGCGUAGUCGAGUCGCAAAAACCCCAUCCCAUCUUACGUAAGAACGUUUUGUACAUAGGCCAUGGUAAUUGUUAUAGAAAGCGCAUCUUAAUCGUUGAACAAAACCGCACCAAUUAGUAGACAACAGAUCGUAUUGUAUUGAACCAAACGCAGCGUUUAGGACUUUUUCCAUGUUGUGAAGUGAGUGAAUUUUGUUGAGAGAGAGAAGACAUUUUAGAUCUGAUAGAGAGACGAGAGAGUGAAGGUGGGAGAGAGAGUGAUCGUGUUUGCCAGACCGGUUUCAGCUUGCCCUGCACCUGAAAUCUGAUGACAGCAGAUUUAGCUUUUGGAUCCGUUUGAUCCUGCGGGAACACGGAAAGUUCAGUUCCGAUUCCCAGAAUUUGGCAAAUCCAGACCAAAUUCUAGCGUCCCGGUCGUCUUGACAUCACAUAGCAACCGUUCACCUCCCCAGGUAUUCGCCCAGCUAAAUUACCAUGGCCUCUUUAUUUGGUAUUGAUGAGUGAUCCGUCGGCAGUAACACCGACUGGAGAGGAGUCUACCAUUGACUAGCAACCUAUAGACAAGGCGUUGAAGCAUGGUACUGAUGUAGCGUGUAUGUAGACCAGUCCUGCAGCCUAGUGGGCAACUUGAGGCUUCAACAUCGGUUUGGAGAGUGUCAAAAAAUAAGCUUUAUUGAAUCUGUGAAGCAUAAGAAUUAAGUACAACUGGUGUAGUUUAAAAAACUUAACGUACCACAGAAAGCAAGUUCUUAAUAUAAUUGAAAUUAGUUUGUGAACGAAUAAGAAUACACCGGAGAGAAACCAAGCAUUUAACCAUUUGAUAAUUGUUGGAAAUAAUAAUUUCGAGUUGAAGUGAAUUGAAGUGAAGAUAAGAGUUUUAUCGACUUCAAGUUAAAUUAGAGGAAUUGAAUUGUAAGAUAUUUGCUGUAUAUAUGUAAAGAAGAAGUUGUGAAAUUUUGGUUGUUGUUUUUUUUUAAAUAUAAUUGAAGAAAGUUAGAAGUUGUUUUAUUCCCGUCUUUUAUUCUGUCUGUUGGUGUGUCCAUAGGAUCCGGGGUCGCCAUUCCUCUCAUA